UCCCAGUCUGCCUAGGAGGUCAGAGGUGCUGAUGGGAGAGAGGACGCUUUGGCCACAACAGCUCAAGAGGCCACUGAGACCAGGAGCAUGGAGGAAGGGACAUCUAUCUACGAGGCCACACUAGCUCCCACUCACACCUCCCAGCUCUUAGCCUUGGCCCCAGCUUUUGACUUCCUGGACUACUCCAGACACAGGUGUAUCCAGUUUAUAAGGAACAGACUUCACAGCGUCCCUCUUCCUGCCUACGUUCUGCGCUGAGGUGGACCACAGCCUCCAUCCUGUCCCUGGUGGCAAGCGGCAGAACCUCAUUGUGUGACCCCGACUGGCUUGGAACCCUUGCUUUUAUAGACCAGGGUGUGUCUUGAACUCACAGAGAUUCACUGCCUCUGCUUGUCAAAGCUGACAGCGAGAAAGAUGAUUUAUUGUACACAAGUUACAAUUGGCCACAAGUGAGGACAGAACUAGUCCAGAACGCCAUUGGUCCAGGGCAAAGGGCCCACAGGGCUGUUGUCAUGACGGCAGGCAGUCUCUCGGUGGUCUCUGCGAGCAGGGGGUGAGGUCGUGGGUCCAGAGAUUUCUUCCGACAGCAGCUCAGUCCGACUUGUACCAGUGUCCGGACCUCCAGCGUCCCUUACUUCUGCUCCUUCGGCCUUCAUGGAUGA